GCACCUGCGGUAAUUCCAGCUCCAAUAGCGUAUAUUAAAGUUGUUGCAGUUAGAACGCUCGUAGUCGGAUUUCGGGGCGGGCCGACCGGUCUGCCGAUGGGUACGCACUGGCCGGCGCGUCCUUCCUUCCGGAGACCGUGCCUACUCUUAACUGAGCGGGGGCGGGAGACGGAUCGUUUACUUUGAAAAAAUCAGAGUGUUUCAAGCAGGCAGCUCGCUCUUGCAUGGAUUAGCAUGGGAUAAUGAAAUAGGACUUUGGUGCUAUUUUGUUGGUUUCGAACACCGAAGUAAUGAUUAAAAGGGACAGUCAGGGGCACUCGUAUUCCGCCGAGAGAGGUGAAAUUCUCAGACCAGCGGAAGACGAACCACUGCGAAAGCAUUUGCCAGGGAUGUUUUCGUUGAUCAAGAACGAAAGU
rnacentral:rRNA from 1 species